rnacentral:rRNA from 1 species
CCUAGGGGUGGCAGCAGUGGGGAAUAUUGCACAAUGGGGGAAACCCUGAUGCAGCGACGCCGCGUGAGUGAAGAAGUAUUUCGGUAUGUAAAGCUCUAUCAGCAGGGAAGAAAAUGACGGUACCUGACUAAGAAGCCCCGGCUAACUACGUGCCAGCAGCCGCGGUAAUACGUAGGGGGCAAGCGUUAUCCGGAUUUACUGGGUGUAAAGGGAGCGUAGACGGCAGCGCAAGUCUGGAGUGAAAUCCCAUGGCUUAACCAUGGAACUGCUUUGGAAACUGUGCAGCUGGAGUGCAGGAGAGGUAAGCGGAAUUCCUAGUGUAGCGGUGAAAUGCGUAGAUAUUAGGAGGAACCCCGAUUGCGAAGGCAGCCUGCCGCAGCGUUACUGACGCUGAAGCUCGAAAGCGCGGGUAUCGAACAGGAUUAGAUACCCGAGUAGUC